GACGAACGCUGGCGGCGUGCUUAACACAUGCAAGUCGAACGAUGAAGCUAGAGCUUGCUCUGGUGGAUUAGUGGCGAACGGGUGAGUAACACGUGAGUAACCUGCCCCGAACUCUGGGAUAACCGCUGGAAACGGUAGCUAAUACUGGAUACGACCAACGAAGGCAUCUUCUGUUGGUGGAAAGAAUUUCGGUUCGGGAUGGACUCGCGGCCUAUCAGCUUGUUGGUGAGGUACCGGCUCACCAAGGCGACGACGGGUAGCCGGCCUGAGAGGGUGAUCGGCCACACUGGGACUGAGACACGGCCCAGACUCCUACGGGAGGCAGCAGUGGGGAAUAUUGCACAAUGGGCGCAAGCCUGAUGCAGCAACGCCGCGUGAGGGACGACGGCCUUCGGGUUGUAAACCUCUUUUAGUAGGGAAGAAGCGAAAGUGACGGUACCUGCAGAAAAAGCACCGGCUAACUACGUGCCAGCCGCCGCCGUAA
rnacentral:rRNA from 1 species